rnacentral:rRNA from 1 species
AACGAACGCUGGCGGCAUGCCUAACACAUGCAAGUCGAACGAGACCUUCGGGUCUAUUGGCGCACGGGUGCGUAACGCGUGGGAACCUGCCCUUAGGUUCGGAAUAACUCCCCGAAAGGGGUGCUAAUACCGGAUAAUGUCUUCGGACCAAAGAUUUAUCGCCUUUGGAUGGGCCCGCGUUGGAUUAGCUAGUUGGUAGGGUAAAAGCCUACCAAGGCGACGAUCCAUAGCUGGUCUGAGAGGAUGAUCAGCCACACUGGGACUGAGACACGGCCCAGACUCCUACGGGAAGCAGCAGUGGGGAAUAGUGGAAAAUGGGCGAAAGCCUGAUCCAGCAAUGCCGCGUGAGUGAUGAAGGCCUUAGGGUUGUAAAGCUCUUUUACCCGGGAUGAUAAUGACAGUACCGGGAGAAUAAGCUCCGGCUAACUACGUG